CUUUAACUAUAUUUUCUCUGUUUCUGAUGCCUUUUGUCUUUACUUUUUUACUUCUAGAUUUCCCUCUGGAAGCAAAUUCUGAUUCCUCUUGGGAGAACCAGCUCUUCACUUAUCCUUCUUAUCUGCAAAGACUAUUAGCAAUUAAAUAGGCAAUGCUAACAUGUAGAGAGUGAUAAUUGACCCUAAAUAGAUGAAAGAAUCUAUGGCAAGGGUGAAAAAUUCAAUUUUUCUCAGGUGUCAGUGCAAAAAUUUGUGUUGCAGGCACAGAAGCACAACCACAACCAUCUAUAGCAAGAACCAUCUGUUGAACCUCCCCGCUCCCCUUCUCUGCCAGAGGCUUUUCUUCUUUACCUUGGAGAGCCAAAUCUUACUCGCCUUGAAUUCAGGAGACUUCCAGGAGAAGCCGAGUGAAUCAAUACGCA
rnacentral:lncRNA from 1 species